UCAGAUGAAAAUCAUCCCAGUGUCAUUUACACUCAUGGAAACAGACCUGGAGGAUGUGAGAAGAGUCCAGAGACUCACUCUCCACAGAAAUGUGUCUACAGCUUCUCAAAGACCGUCAACUCCUCCGACGCCUCGACUUAUUUCUGUGCUGUGGCCGCAUGUGGAGAGACAUUGUUUGGAAAUAGGACAAAGAUUGACUUCAAAGGAGCCGACAAUCAGACGGCCGUAAUAGCUCUGUUUCUGUUAUCAGCUGCUUUGGCUAUAAGCUUGAUUAUUAUAGCUUUCCUGAUUCAUAUCAUCAAGACUAAAUCGUGUGAUUCCAGCAAAGCUGCUGAAGAUCUGCAAACACAUCCUGCAGCAGAUCGACGACGCCAGCAGAGCGCUGAGGACUCGUUGGUUUAUUCUGCACCGACUUUUUCUAAGAUUAGAACGGACAAAAGAGAGAGAAAAGUC